UAUACCGUUUCUAGUGCCAAGCUGGAUGCAGCACUGUCGACAAACUGGCGCAUGCCUAAGCCAUCUAACUGAUAGAUAUCAAACAACAUAACCGAACUAACAAGUUCCCUUCCUGCACCAUAUCUACUUAGUCGUCAAUGUUUUUAAUUUUCACGGAAAUAUAGGUAGCUUAACUUUGAACAACACGACGGAACUUAUUGUUGUUUUGCUCUCAGUUUAUCUCAUAAUGUCACAGCAUGGAACCUCUGCAAUCUGGGGAUGGCAAGGAGCCUUAACCGGGAUAAACAACCGCCUAAUGCAUGCCUUGACUUCGGGUGUACUGAGUGACGUUGAAUUUGCAGUCGGUCACGAUCAUGGUCAACCGAAGACCUUUCGAGCGCACAAGCUACUGCUAAGCCUCAGCAGUGAGGUAUUCGAUACCAUGUUUAACGGAAGUAUACCGGAAACUGAUAAUGGCGUGGUUAAAAUCCCUGAAAUAGCAUCCGAGGCUUUCGGUAACAUGCUCAAUUAUCUGUAUACUGACCAAAUGGCUGAUCUCCGAUGGGAUAAUGCCUUUCAAACGCUCUACUGCGCAAAGAAAUACGGCAUUCCAUCGUUGCUGGAUCUUUGUUCGGACUGCAUCAUUAACAGUCUCACGGUCGACAAUUGUCUCGCAAAUUUCGAAGACGCGCUGCAUCUUGGUGCCGAAAAAGUUCAAUCCAAAUGCCUCGAGUUGGUAGACUCAUCUAGUCAAGCAGUUUUCCGUUCGGAAGCGUUCUCCACCAUCGAGAAAGAUACUCUGGAACAGCUGCUGACGAGAGAUACACUUGCGAUUGAAGAAAAUACAGUCUACAAUGCCGUGGAGAAUUUGUGCUUCUACACAGCGGUCACGUUUCCUCUAGAUGGGCGGAGAAUGUUUGCAUCCGGAACAACUUGGAGUCGACGGCCUCGAAUCGACGAGAGGUACUGGGAGGUGCUUUAUUCCUUAUUCGUUUUCCGUUGAUUACUGACAAAGAAAUUGUCGACGGACCAGGAAAGACGGGUCUGUUGCUGAAGGAAGAACUGGGCGACAUUUACCAAUGCAAACAUGCAACAGUGAAGUCGCAGCUGAUGUUCUCCUCGUUCCCGCGACGUCCGCUUCCGCUCGUUGGAGCUGUGCGGGUCGGCAACUACGUUAGCGGUCAAUGGGCGAAUCACUCACGAGCUUUCGUGCCAAAUAUGCAAUUACAUAAUCGGACUCGGUAUCCACGUGGUCGUUUAUUUUGAUACAAGGCUUUUAAUGUUCAAGCACCCUGUACAGUGAUGAAACUCUCCUCAGCAGUAGCGAUGCUUCUUGAACCAUCUUCCCAAGGGAGGAAAAUGCAUUCUUUCACCUUUUUUGCUUUUCGCUAUUUUAUGAGCGCAAUAGUGACUACUGUUGGAUAUUUACUUUCGCGGAUGAUCAUUUAUGUCACAUAUUUUUUGCACUGUUUUAACUGAUUCAUCUACUGCUGACUCGUUAAAUUUGACCACUACUGCUCCUGAACUGUCAGAUUGUUUUCGCUCAAGCAACAGAUAUUAUCUGGUA